GCAUUGGUGGUGCACUGGUAGAAUUCUCUCCUUCCACGCAGGAGGCCCGGGUUCGAUUUCUGGCCAGUGCA
rnacentral:tRNA from 1 species